rnacentral:lncRNA from 1 species
AGAGAGAGAGAGAGAGAGAGAGAGAGUUCGGCUGCUAUACUCUUGUGAGUAUGAUCGCUAUCGUACUCAUAAGUUGUUUUCGAUAAUAGAGCUUCUGAAUCGACGAUCUACAUUAUCAAACGUUAUCUAGAGCAUUUAAAACGUGUAGAAAUCAAAUUUUAUAAUUUUUCAGCAUCAUUUACCUUACGAUCAAAAGGUCACAAAAUUGACAAUUUUUAACAGCCGGUAUGAGAUAUUUGUUAGUUUAACGGUAUAAAAGAAUCGAAUUGGUUGAAUUUUUUAUAGAAAAUUCUAUUCACUACAUAGAUAAAGAUCAAUAACUUCGAUCUUAAAUUGAAGGAUCCGAUCAUCCAUUUUUAAUACGUCGUUUGAUUUUGACCAUUCAUUUUAUAUCCGCUUGAUGAACUUUAGUAUGAUUUCGAAAAAUUACAAAAUUUAUUUUUUAGAAGUUUCAAAUACUUUAGAUCAUAUUUAACGGAGUGGAUCGUCGAUUCGGGAGCUCAAUCAUUGAAAACAACUUAUGAGUAUGAAGGGCUCUAUACUCAUAAGAGUAUAGUAGCCCUAGCCAUAUAUAUAUAUAUAUAUAUAUAUAUAUAUAUAUAUAUAUAGAAAGAGAGAGAGAGAGAGAGAGAGAGAGAGAGAGAGAGAGAGAGAGUUGAGCUGGAAUGCUAUUGGUAGCAAACGGAUUCUGUUGCCAUUCAUUUGUUUUUGAUGAUGGAGCUUCCAAAUUGAAGAUCGACACUGUUAAAGAUGAUUUAUACCACUUGAAGUAUCUAGAAACCAAAUUUCAUGCUUUUUCGAUAUUUUUUUUGUCCAUAAAGUGAACACAAAAAUGAACGGCUGAGAAUAAAUAUCCUUUAAAAAGUGAUGAUAGGAAUCUUGUAAUCGAGAUCGAGAGUGUAACAUACUAGAUUUUGGUAUAAAAAUAAAAAUAAAUAAAAAUAGUGUGAGAUACUAUUUUUAUUGGAUUUAAAGAAGUAAAACAUAAGUCAGAAGUGACUUGUGCUGAAAUCGAAAUGAAAACAGAAGAUCUAGAAUUUUCUGUUGGAAACGGGACAGAUAAAUUAGCAGAAAAUGCACAGUCUCAGAAAAUUAUGAAAAUUGGAGAAUAAGUCAGAAAUAUUUUUAUGAAGCUAGAUUUAAGGUUUUAUAUUUUUCUGACACCCGUAGAGUGAGAAAUAAAAUCCGACACGUAUCUGAUAAAGGUAACAGUUCGGUACAGUUUUCGGUGACCAAAUGGGGUCGAAACUGGAAACUUAAAAUAUAUUCUUGCUCAGUACGUAAAACUAAACAUGACUGUCAAGUUUGAGCCCAAACGGACAUUCAGGGAGCUCCGGCGAAAGUUAUCAGAUUUCAAGCUGCCUGGAGUGAAUAGUGUUUGAGGGGUAUUAUAAAAAAAGCUGAUGCUUCUUCUUCUCCUUCGGCCGCACACCACACACGCACACGACACACACACACACACACACACACACACACGCAA